GACGAACCGUGCGAACGUUAUUCGGAAUCACUGGGCUUAAAGCGCGUGUAGGCGGGACGGCACGUCGGUCGCUGAAAGCCCCCGGCUCAACCGGGGAACGGGCGCCGAUACGACCGCCCUGGAGGAACGUAGGGGGACCUGGAACUUCCGGUGGAGCGGUGAAAUGCGUUGAGAUCGGAGAGAACACCAACGGCGAAAGCACUCUGCUGGGCCGACACUGACACUGAGAGACGAAAGCUAGGGGAGCAAAUGGG
rnacentral:rRNA from 1 species